rnacentral:rRNA from 1 species
CCUACGGGCGGCAGCAGUGGGGAAUAUUGGGCAAUGGGCGCAAGCCUGACCCAGCAACGCCGCGUGAAGGAUGAAGGUUUUCGGAUUGUAAACUUCUGUCGCGAGGGACGAAGAAUGACGGUACCUCGUAAGAAAGCCCCGGCUAACUACGUGCCAGCAGCCGCGGUAAUACGUAGGGGGCAAGCGUUGUCCGGAAUGACUGGGCGUAAAGGGAGUGUAGGCGGCCUUGUAAGUUAGAUGUGAAAUCCUACGGCUUAACCGUAGAACUGCAUCUAAAACUGUGGUGCUAGAGGGCAGGAGAGGUAAGUGGAAUUCCUAGUGUAGCGGUGAAAUGCGUAGAUAUUAGGAGGAACACCAGUGGCGAAGGCGGCUUACUGGACUGUAACUGACGUUGAGGCUCGAAAGCGUGGGGAGCAAACAGGAUUAGAUACCCGGGUAGUC